rnacentral:rRNA from 1 species
CCCUUAGAUGUUCUGGGCUGCACGCGCGCUACACUGAUGCAUCCAACAAGUUUUUUCCUUGUUCGAGAGGACUAGGUAAUCUUAUGAGAAUGCAUCGUGAUGGGGAUAGAUUAUUGCAAUUAUUAAUCUUCAACGAGGAAUUCCUAGUGAGCGCGAGUCAUCAGCUCGUGCUGAUUACGUCCCUGCCCUUUGUACACACCGCCCGUCGCUGCAACUGAUUGGGUGACCUGGUGAACAUCUUGGACCGGCCCACUCAAUUUCGAGAGGACUGGAAAAGGCCGUAAAUCAGGUACAUCUAGAAAUUGCAAAAGUCGUAACA